AGUGAACGCUGGCGGUAGGCCUAACACAUGCAAGUCGAACGGCAGCACAGUAAGAGCUUGCUCUUACGGGUGGCGAGUGGCGGACGGGUGAGGAAUACAUCGGAAUCUACUUUUUCGUGGGGGAUAACGUAGGGAAACUUACGCUAAUACCUCAUACGACCUACGGGUGAAAGCAGGGGAUCUUCGGACCUUGCGCGAUUGAAUGAGCCGAUGUCGGAUUAGCUAGUUGGCGGGGUAAAGGCCCACCAAGGCGACGAUCCGUAGCUGGUCUGAGGGGAUGAACGGCCAACUUGGGACUGAGACAAGGCCCAAAAUCCUACGGGAGGCAGCCGUAGGGAAUCUUUGGCAAUGGGCGAAAGUCUGACCCAGCCAAGCCGCGUGGGUGAAGAAGGUGUUCGGGUUGUAAAACUCUUUUGGUGGAGAAGAAAAAUGGGGAGAUUAGAACGCUCAUCACGUGACGGUAACCAAAAAAAAAGCGCCGGCUAACUUCGUG
rnacentral:rRNA from 1 species